rnacentral:rRNA from 1 species
CCUACGGGAGGCAGCAGUGGGGAAUAUUGGACAAUGGGGGCAACCCUGAUCCAGCCAUGCCGCGUGUGUGAAGAAGGCCCUCGGGUUGUAAAGCACUUUCAGUGAGGAAGAACACCUGGUGGUUAAUACCCAUCAGGAAAGACAUCACUCACAGAAGAAGCACCGGCUAACUCCGUGCCAGCAGCCGCGGUAAUACGGAGGGUGCGAGCGUUAAUCGGAAUUACUGGGCGUAAAGCGCGCGUAGGUGGCUUGAUAAGCCGGUUGUGAAAGCCCCGGGCUCAACCUGGGAACGGCAUCCGGAACUGUCAAGCUAGAGUGCAGGAGAGGAAGGUAGAAUUCCCGGUGUAGCGGUGAAAUGCGUAGAGAUCGGGAGGAAUACCAGUGGCGAAGGCAGCCUUCUGGACUGACACUGACACUGAGGUGCGAAAGCGUGGGUAGCAAACAGGAUUAGAUACCCCUGUAGUC